UACGAAGAGGGCUAGCGUUGCUCGGAAUUACUGGGCGUAAAGGGCGCGUAGGCGGCACUGUUAGUCAGGCGUGAAAUUCCUGGGCUCAACCUGGGGACUGCGCUUGAUACGGCAGAGCUAGAGGAUGGAAGAGGCUCGCGGAAUUCCCAGUGUAGAGGUGAAAUUCGUAGAUAUUGGGAAGAACACCGGUGGCGAAGGCGGCGAGCUGGUCCAUUACUGACGCUGAGGCGCGACAGCGUGGGGAGCAAACAGG
rnacentral:rRNA from 1 species